GGGCUCCUUUCAGCAGCACAUAUGCUAAAAUUCAAAUGACACAGAGAUUAGCAUGGCUCCUGCUCAAGGAUGACAUGAAAAUUCAUGAAUUCAAUAUUUUA
rnacentral:snRNA from 1 species